rnacentral:lncRNA from 1 species
AGACGACUUCCAACAUCUCAGACGAUUUACUGGGGCUAUAUUCGUAAAAAUGGCUUCUGUUUUUUUGUUUGGCCACAAGGGGCUGAGCUGUAAUUUCACUAGGCUUUUAGGUUAGUUUUGCAUUUGAUUCAAGUUUGGGUAUAGGUUUGGGAUUAAAAUCAAGUUGUGGGUUAGUUUUGGCAAAAACCCCUAAAUUUAAUUUAUUUUUCAGUGAUCUCAAUACCAGUGAUGCAGGAAGUGAAAAAAAAAAUAUUUUAAUAUAUUAGAAAAAUAUUUCUUUUUAAUAUAUAUAAUAAAAAUUGGUAUCUCGACAUAGACAUAAAUCUUUCUACCCCGAUGAAGAACCACCCAUUAUUAUUUACAUUACAAUAUCAAGCAAAAUUAGAACUUUUGACAAACGAGAGAAAUUUCAGAGAGCUUCACCAAUUUUUCAACAAGAGAAAGUCGUUAAAAGCCAAUUUUCAAAAAAAAAAAAGGGUCGUUAAACAUGGAAAUGAAAACAAUGUAAAUACGGGUUUACAACUAGAUCAUUGGUCGCACGAAGAAAGAGAAAAAAAGAAGAAGAGAAAAACCUAUAUGGUCAUAGUUUGUAAUCACUUCACUAGGUUAGCGCUUCUAGAGUUAUAAGAUUACCAUUUUAUACGACCUUUUAUAAGGAUACAAAAACAACGUAUUACAUGUGAUUUAAACAAGAGACGUAAAAUUUUAGGUUGGCAGGAUAAUAACAUUCCACAAAAAAACAGAGACAUUAGAAAAUUUAAAAAAAUGUUAGAUGUAAAUCUAAAAAUAUGAAAUUUUGGAUUCUAAUAAAUAUAUAAAUAAAUACUUAAAAUUUUAUUUAAAAAAAAUAGUUUCAAUAAGAUUUUUUUCUUUUUAAAUUAUAAAUCGGAAAAUUUUAGAAAAAUAAAUUAUAAAAAGUUCAAAUUAAAAAAAAUAUAAUUAAAACAUAAAAAAAAAAUUAAAUAUUUUUUAUUAUAUAUAUAACAAGGAUAUAAAAAUCAUUUGCAUGUUAUUGAAAAAUGUAUUUUUUAAAAUGUUUCUUUAAUAAUUUUAAUAAUAAUAAACAUGAAUAGUUAUAUCAACAAAGUAAACAUGAAAAUUCUCUAUAUAAAAUAGCUUAUAUUUUCAAUUCCCCUUACCACCUCACCCAAAGUAUAUAAUAUUCUAUUCACAACAAAUUUUUAAUAUAAACACACUUAACAUUUAUAAACCUUUAACACACAAAAAUACUUAAAAACCAUCAACGUUAUUGUACACUCCUCUUGCGAAUCCUAACAUGAAACACAUACAAUAAAAUAUACAAUUAUAUAGUAAUAUACAUCACACGACAAUCAUAUUUCGCGCGUAGCGCGGACCGACCCUAGUAUAUAUA